UCCAUGGCGGUCUGCGCUCCAGACUUCAAACCGCAAAAGAGGAGG
rnacentral:tRNA from 15 species